GGAUGUGAGGGUGAUCUGGAUGCAACAUCUGUCACCCCAUUGACCGCUAGGGUUGACUCGGUUGAUCUGGCUGGCUAGGCAGGUGUCCCCUUCCUCCCUCACUGCCCCAUGUGUGUCCAUCCAGAAGCUGUGUACUCGGUUGAAGAAGAUGACCUUCCAUGAUAGAGGAGGACUGUUUUGUGGUCAAGGGUAUAAGAGUAGCUGCGCUCCCCUGCUAGAACCUCCAAACAAGCUCUCAAAAUUAAAGAUCUUUUCCUCCAGAAAGUUCUUCUGAACUUGCAGCCUGGCUCAGUCUCCUCUUCCAUUGUACCAUGGACACAGCCAUCUUGCCUGUUUAUCCAUCUGU
rnacentral:snRNA from 1 species